CGGGCCCAGAAUAGCAGCGCUGCCGCGCAGAUAGCAUGGAGCGGCUCCGUGGCCCCGCCGCGUCCCAGGUGGCGCUGCUGGAUGCUGUUACAUGCCCUGAGGAGGAAGGGUUUUCGAAGGCUGUAUGCCCCAGGGAGGAGGAAGAAGAGGAGGAGAAAUACAGGAGACCUGUCACCUUCACACUGGGAAAUGAGAUACUGGGGCUGGGCCCAGAGAGAGAGUUUCAGAACCCUGAUGCUGAGGUUUAUAUGCACUUCUUGAGGAGCCACUGCUGUUACGAUGCCAUCCCCACCAGCUGCAAACUCGUUGUCUUUGACAUCUCCCUAGAGCAGAUCAAGAAAGCCUUUUUGGCACUGGUGGCCAACGGGGUGCGUGCUGCCCCUCUCUGGGACAGCAAGACGCAGAGCUUUGUGGGUGAGUGCCAGAAGCAAUGCCUGGUCCCCUCCCCUGCCUGGCAGAGGAGGGUACAGGCAGUGCUGCCAGCCCCACAUAUCUCCACAGGGAUGCUCACUAUCACUGACUUCAUCAACAUCCUCCACCGCUACUACCGCUCACCUUUGGUUCAGAUCUACGAGGUGGAGGAGCAUAAGAUUGAGACCUGGAGAGAAGUGUACCUGCAGGGCUCCCUCAAGCCACUGGUCUACAUCUCUCCGAGCAAUAGCCUCUUCAAUGCUGUCUACUCCCUGAUCAAGCACAAAAUCCACCGCCUGCCUGUCAUUGAGCCUGUCUCGGGCAAUGUCCUGCACAUCCUGACGCACAAGCGCAUCCUCAAGUUUCUCCACAUCUUUGAUUCUACCAUUCCCAAGCCACGCUUCCUGAAGAAAACAGUGCAGGAACUGUGCAUUGGCACCUUCCAUGAUCUGGCUGUCGUGCCUGAGACUGCCCCAGUCUACACCGCCUUGGAGAUUUUUGUGGAUCGUCGUGUCUCUGCCUUGCCUGUCAUCAAUGAUGCUGGGCAAGUAGUUGGCCUGUACUCGCGGUUUGAUGUCAUUGUGAGUACCCUGCAUGUGUGCAUGCCCAGGCUCAACUUUGGCCCCUUGCAUGCACUGGUGGGGCACUCAUACCUGUCUGUGCCCAUGCAAACCCACCUCACAUGCAGUGUGAUGCAUGUGCCAGUGCACAUCUGCUCUGUGCAUCUCCUGGGCUCAUUGUCCCUUGUAUGUUGGCACAAUGGGGUGCAAGGACACCUUGGGACUCUGGAUGUGGUCACAUCACAGCACCUGGCAGCCCAAAAGAGCUACAACAACCUGGACAUCAGUGUGAGGGAGGCACUGCAGCAGCGCAGCGUCGCCCUGGAGGGGGUCCUCACCUGCUACCCCCACGAACCUAUGGAGGACAUAAUUGACCGCAUUGCCAAGGAGCAGGUCCAUCGCCUGGUUCUGGUGGAUGAGAACCGGCACCCACGAGGCAUCAUCUCCCUCUCUGACAUCCUGCAGGCCCUUGUGCUCACUCCUGCAGGUAUCGAUGCUCUUAACUCUUAGCCCACGGUGCUCCAUCUUUCUCCACUUGCACCCUCAAUUUUUCUCCACUUCAGGCAUCGAUCGAUCCUCACUCUGAAGACAACAGGGAAAUGCCACUGUCUUGUCUGACUCAGGGAUCUCUGCGUGAUCUGUGAGAAGGAGGCUUGGGCCUGAAGGCUCUCUGUGGGAGGACAUGCCUGUUCACUCCAGUCCUCGGGCUCGUCUUGAGUCCAGGGCUAGAUCCUGCCAGUCUUGGAGAGGCAGAAACACUGAAAAUGGGACCCAGGGGUGCCUCCUGCCAGUGAGCACACAGAGAUGCUCAGUGGGCACUGUGCUGGAGGGGCUGCAACAUGCCUGCAGCUGGGCAGAGACCCAUAUAGCCCCAGUGGACCUGACCACCCCUCUGCCAUCCUGCUGAUGGAUUUGAACGUUUCUGUUGUGGCUCCCUCCUAGUGAACACAGUCCCGCUGUCUGUGCCCGGUGCCUGGUAGCGUAGGCUCAGCUGCACACACAGGCUUUUUUAUUUUGGGGUCACAUGGGGCUGGAGCUCUCUGGCAGAGGCACAGUCUGUGCCAGAGCUGGCAGCAGAACGGGCACUUGCAUAGAGACCCUGUGCACAUUUUGGGGUGGGCAGGGGGUAUUUAUUUAUUUGUUAGUCUGUUC